AUUUAGCCCUGAUGGCAGUGAAAAUCCUUUUGCUUUUUCCUUUAAAAAGCAAAAGAUUGAAGCGAACAGCAGGAACAUUG
rnacentral:sRNA from 1 species